UUAGCAAAAGCCAAAGCAUUUAGGCAUAUUACUGUUAAUAAUUCAUUGGAUAACCAAAUCCUUGCUAAG
rnacentral:tRNA from 1 species